GAUGAACGCUGGCGGCGUGCUUAACACAUGCAAGUCGAACGGAAAGGCUCCUGCUUGCCGGGGUCCUCGAGUGGCGAACGGGUGAGUAACACGUGGGUGAACUGCCCCGCACUUCGGGAUAAGCCUGGGAAACUGGGUCUAAUACCCGAUAGGACAGUUGUUUGGAUGCCAUUGUGGAAAGUUUUUUGGGUUUGGGGUGAGCUCGCGGCCUAUCGGCUUUCUUGUGGGGUAAUGGCCUGCCAAGGCGUCGGCGGGUAGCCGGCCAGUGAGGGUGUGAGGCGACAUUGGGUCCGACAUGAGGCCCAGGCAGCGACGGGUGGCAGAUGUGGGGAAGAUUGACCAAGGGGCGCCAGGCGGAUGCAGAGAGGCCGCGGGGGGGAUGACGGCCUUAGGGUUGUAAAACACAUUCGCUAGGGACGAAGCGUUAUGUGACGGUACCUAGAGAAGAAGCACCGGCUAACUACGUG
rnacentral:rRNA from 1 species